AUUGAACGCUGGCGGCAGGCCUAACACAUGCAAGUCGAGCGGAUGAAGGGAGCUUGCUCCUGGAUUCAGCGGCGGACGGGUGAGUAAUGCCUAGGAAUCUGCCUGGUAGUGGGGGAUAACGUCCGGAAACGGGCGCUAAUACCGCAUACGUCCUGAGGGAGAAAGUGGGGGAUCUUCGGACCUCACGCUAUCAGAUGAGCCUAGGUCGGAUUAGCUAGUUGGUGGGGUAAAGGCCUACCAAGGCGACGAUCCGUAACUGGUCUGAGAGGAUGAUCAGUCACCCUGGAACUGAGACACGGUCCAGACUCCUACGGCAGGCAGCAGUGGGGAAUAUUGGACAAUGGGCGAAAGCCUGAUCCAGCCAUGCCGCGUGUGUGAAGAAGGUCUUCGGAUUGUAAAGCACUUUAAGUUGGGAGGAAGGGCAGUAAGUUAAUACCUUGCUGUUUUGACGUUACCAACAGAAUAAGCACCGGCUAACUUCGUG
rnacentral:rRNA from 1 species